rnacentral:misc_RNA from 1 species
UCGUAUCGCAAGAGGGCAUUCGGGGCUGUCGCUGACCUUCUAAGGUCGUGCACGCCUCGAUCGUUCUCAUUUAUACAUCCAUCUCACCCUUUGUGCAUCACCGCGUGGGUCCCCCUUUUUAAAAGGUGUGGCCCGCGUUAUUACAAACCUUGUUGUAGUGAAUGUCUUUACUUUUGCUAUUGCAAUCAGUA